UGACAUCAAGAAGAUUUUGUUAGUUAAAGGGGAAGAAGAAAAAAUCAUUUGAAAAAAUUUGCUAAUAUUCACCAAAACUGAUAUGUAUUGUGUGUUAUCAAUCAUAAAUCAAUCAUUGAAAAAAAUAUAAAUGAUUUAUUAUACGUAAUUUAAUUUAAUUCGAUUUUUUUUCUUUUCCUUUUUCAAUUUCAAUUUAAGUCAUUUGUUUGCACAAAAUUUAUUUAUUUUAAGGGUUUGAAGCCAUAAAUUAUAAUACAUGAAAUAACUUAUCUUUAUAUAACUGAAUAACAACACUAUUCAAAAUUAAUGAAAACUUAUGUUAAUAUAUUUGUGUACUCAAAAAAUUACAAUACAAUUCAAUUUCAAUUCAAUUACAAUUUAAUUACAAGUUUUUGCACAGAAAACUAAGAAUAAUGAUUACAAAUAUACGGCUUUUUAUUUCUUUUGUUGGAAUCCAAUUCAAAUAAAAAAAUUGUAAAAAAUAUUGCAUUUUUUGAGCCAAUUAGCUAAAUUAGGUGAUAGCUUGUAUAUGUAGUUGAUGAAGACAUAAUUGUAUUUCUAUAUUGAAUAUUCCAACCUGACUUUUGUCUCCCUGGAGAAAACCACCACCAUAUGCUCUCAAAUCUUCUUUUUAGUUUCCUUCAAAAAAAUAAUUUAAAUUAAUUUUCUAAAUUAUAUACACAAAACUUACAUUAAUUACAAUCAUCAAUAUUGAAAAUGAUAACUUUUUUUUCAUGUAUAAAACCUAAUAGAUAAAAGUAAAUAAAUAAAUAAAUAAAUGGAAUAGAAAGAAAACUCACUAAGCUAAUAGAAAACUCAGAGAAUGAAAAAACGUGGUUGUGGAAGGGGUCAAAGAGUAGCAUAUUAUAUAUUGCUGCAGACAACUUCUGGCUCUUAAACCAAUUUCUUCUUUCUAUCUCAAAUAAUUCUCAAUUA
rnacentral:lncRNA from 1 species